CAAUUAUUAAAGAUUAAAUUAUGCAAGGAAAAGUGUCUUUGUUUUCUGUCAAAAUAAUUUACCUUUUUUUUACAUAAAGUUGUCGAUAAAUAAAUUGGAUACCCUUCAUUUCAAUAGCAUAUUAUCAAAUUGCUGAAAGAUCUCCUACAUGUACUAAACAGGGAAUCCGUUAGUAUUGAAAGUCCCUGUCCUUAAUAAUUCAAUUUGUCGUUCUGCAUUAUUUUGGUGUAUGAAAGACGCACACAUUCAG
rnacentral:lncRNA from 1 species